UGGAAAUAACAUAUGCUUUCCAGACAGCAAUAAAGAGCUACGUUUGAAUGAAAUAGCUUUGCUCUUUGCAGCAGAGAAACAGAUUUUCCAGACUAAGGAGAGCUCCAUGUUGCCAAGGCCAGACUGCUUCCAGUAGCUGAUGUGGAACCUUUGAAGCAAGCUCUAUUCUCAUAGAAACAACCCAGUAGUGAAUGAAAGCAGCAUAAUUUCACCCCAUUAGAAUCACAAUUUUUUUUAAUAAUCUCACAUGAAAUGUUCGAGACCUGAUUGGAAGAUACAGCAUCUCCAGCCAUUACUUCAACCUGGAGUGAUGGGUCUGGGCUAAUUCAAAUACAGGUGGGAGGAAGGAGGAAGGGUAGAAGGGAAGGAAGCAGGGAGAUGUUCAAUGAGAUGAACAAGCUAGAAUACCUUGAUAAAGGAAAGGUAUGGCCAUCAAAAAUCACAGCCACCAUAUUCUGAAACAGCAUGGAACAAUCAGUUUUCUGGCAGGGAAUGCUCCCUGCCCUCUUCCAUUUACACUUAUAGCUGUAAAUUCAAUGAGCUCAUAAUGAGUAAUGGUGCAAUUUUGUGCUGGGAAGAGAAACUAACUGAAACAUUUGGUAACAAAUAAGUGAAAACUCUAAAUGGAAAGCCAUGUGAAAUGGCUGAAGAGUUGCAAAUGAAGCUUGUAAAAUUAUUUCUUUAUUAGACUAGAAAGUUUCUGAAGCAUGACCUGAGAAAUAAAUAACAAUAAUGAAUGCUUGAAUGGAGUAUCAUUUUAAAAAAUGAAAACAAGCAAACAUAUUUUAAAGAGAGAGAAUUUCCAUGUAAAUAGAGUUUUGGAGCGCUGGAGCAGCAGAACCAGAAGUAGUGUAAGGUCACUUGCAAAAGUGAGGAAUUAAACAGGACUUGUGGGAUCUUCUGCCCAGCUUCAAGAUAAAAAAGGUGUUUCAGAAAUUGGAAUAUACUCUGUAGCAUAUUUCUACAUUGAGAGUCUUUUGUAUCUCAUGAACUGGGAAUUUCUUCUUCUCUAAGGUGAAUUUUAUAUGAAGAUUCUGCUGCCUUAUGUCAAGAAAGUUCUCAGUUCCAAGCAGGUGAAAACUUAUUAUUCAUUCAGGUAUUAAAUAAGAAAAUAAACAAAACAAUAAAUAAUGGAAAAUCAAAGUCUUAGGAGGGAUGAACAAAGCUGCUUAUUACCUGGCAUAUUACCUCUUUCACAUAAUUACCUGUUUUCACAUAUUACCUGUUUCACAUAAUAUUUUACCAUCAUUCAGCCACAUUCUAAAAAAAAAAAAGAGUCUGUGGUCAUCAUCCUCUCUUUAAAAUAAAUGUUUUUGAUCAGCAGCAGUCUUUUCUGAAACUGGCAGAAGGGUAUAAACCUAUUAAAGCUCUUUUAUGGUGUUCUUUUAUUGUAGUUCUCUACUUAUAACUCUUCAUCACA